CUUCUGAGGUCUUAAGAGUGUCCAGGUCAGACAUAAAUCUGGAUCCAGGAGCUGUCAGGCAGGAGGCCCUGUGGGUUGGAAAGGGCUAAAGCCAGUGGCAGCCCCAGCCCUGGCAGAGGGAAGUGGCCUAGGAGCCAGGCCAGCUGUUGGCACCUUUGGAGAUGGUCUCAGCAGGAACAUGCCUGCACUUCCCUGGGCCAGCUCAGACCCCAGCUCCUCCUUGGAUGAGAGGAUGAGAGGGCACCAUGGAGAAACACAACCAUGGAUGGCUACAGGUUGGAGCUCAGAGAGAGACAGAGACUUCCCCAAGGUGGAACAGAGAGAUUGGUUUAGUUGUGUUUAGACCCAGGAUGAGACGGAGUCUCUGAGAAUGGCACCCACCGGGGACCUUGUCGUCAGAAAGCAACAGAGUAGAACAGAAACAUGAUGUCUUUGACCAGCCUUGGUUCGAACCUUCCAUCACUGACAUUAGCCAAGUCCUUUAACCUCUCUCUGCCCCUCAGUUUUUCCAUCUGUGAAAUGUGACUAAUAAUGUGUAAAGAAUUUGGGCUCAAGAAUCAAAUCACCUGGGUAUUUACCUGCUCCGUAGUAUUUACCUGCUGUGUGACCUGAAGCGACUUAUUCUGUGAGCUUCAAUUUCCUCACAGAACAGCUGUGGGGUUAAAUGCACAUACAGACCUGGUGCCCAA